GUGCAAAAAUUAUGGGAUGAAAACAUAUGAUGAGCUUCCUAUCGAAGGGAAGGAAGAGAUAAAAGAAGUAAUGCAGGUGUACAAUAGAAGUCCAUUGAGGGAGGAGAGAAGGAAGAAGGUUUUACAAUUACUGGGAAGAAAGAAACUUGGAAAAGAGUACACAUAAUUAAGCUAUCCUAAGCUGUUGGGAAGGUGGUUUGUAAUAGUGGAGGUGAUGGUGAAGUGAAUAUGGAAUUGGAUGUUCCACCUGCAACAAAUGUCUUACUCAAUGAGUGUGCAACUCCUUCUUUGGGGAGGCAUAAAAAGAUGAAGGUUGCCACAGAUAAAAGGUUGACUUCGGAUGAGGGCACAUAUUUGGCACAGAAGGUUAAUGUUUGUUCAUAUAUGUGUUUGCAUUGCAUAGUGUUAUUUGUACUCCAUUGUCUUCUAUGUUGAUUGUUCCAUCUCUAUUAUGCUAGGAUUAUUUUGAUGGGGUUUGUGGAGGGAGCGUGCAGUUGUUAGGAGAUCUGGCUGACAACAUAUGUAGUGGGCUAGAAAAAGUAUCUCGUAAACCUCGAAUGUCCAUUAGGACGAAGUGCCUGAAGGAGAUGACAAAUGAAAACUUGAGUGCACGCGGAGACAAGAAGAAUGCAAGUCAGUAUCUUGAAUUGGGGUAGACGUUGGACAAUAUAAUCAAACAUGAACAUCUUACUGCCACAUAAGGAAGCAUGGAUGGCAAGAAACGUUCAAUGGGAAACUACAGUGGCUUUACAAAUGCAAACCGCGAUGGUGAUGAAGGGGAUGAUGUGGGUCAGCCAUCUAUUUUAGUAUUUUUCUAUCAUGUUGAAAUGAAUUGAUUUAGUUAUGUGGAUGGUCAGCUAUAAAAAAUCUUAUUUACGUUACUGCAUGCAUACAUUACAACUGUAGCCAACUGUGCAAGAUGAAGAAUAGUGCGUCGAUGAAGAUGUUCACACUCUUGCUAUUGGAGAUGAAGUCCAACUACAAGUCGAUGGGGAAGUGAUUGGGAAAGUUAUUGUUGAUGGGGUUGGGAGUGGUGUCCUAUGUCACAACAAACCACUCCGACAAGGUUGUGCUAAAAUAUGAAUCGUGGAUGUCUUUGAUGAAAAUGCCUCACUGCCUUAUCUGCAUGCCUUUUUUGACAUCUUAUCGGACUCCCUAAACUCGUGGGAGGUGUGGGGUAUCAAAGACCUCAUCUGUCCCCCAUUUGUGGUUAAAGUUGUCAAAAUCGCCAAGCCAGAAAAUCAGGAUGUUAAAUACAAUCCUGCGAUUAGACGGACAAGUGCGAGGCUUCGAACACUUGGUAUCACCCCUCCUAAGUUACAUAGGAACCCGAAGAAGCAUAAAGUCUUCUAUUCUGGUGUUGACUCCAUGGCACAAACGAGAAAGCAGAGGCGAUAAUAUAUUUUUACUAUGUGCGUGGGCCAUUUGGGCCUCAAAAUAGAAGCUUGAAAGCUCAGAAACUAGAUAGUAAUAUUUCUAGCCAGAUACUCUACUAGAAGACUACUCUUCAAAAAUUUGCUUAAACAUUAUUUACAUGUAUCUGUGAACUAAUGCAUUCCACGGGAAACUGUGGUGCAACACCUUAAUAUGCCUCAUAAUAUAGUGCA